rnacentral:rRNA from 1 species
GAGUUUGAUCCUGGCUCAGGAUCAACGCUGGCGGCGUGCAUGAGACAUGCAAGUCGAACGGACGCUUACGGGCUUGCCUGUAAGCGUUAGUGGCGGACGGCUGAGUAACGCGUAGGUGACCUGCCCCGAAGUGGGGAAUAACUGCCCGAAAGGGUGGCUAAUACCGCAUGUGGUGGUGCGUUCGAUCGCACCAGUAAAGCCGCAAGGCGCCUCGGGAGGGGCCUGCGUCCGAUUAGCUCGUUGGUGGGGUAACGGCUUACCAAGGCGACGAUCGGUAGGUGGUCUGAGAGGACGAUCACCCAGACUGGGACUGAGACACGGCCCAGACUCCUACGGGAGGCAGCAGUCGGGAAUUUUGCGCAAUGGACGAAAGUCUGACGCAGCAACGCCGCGUGAGGGAUGACGGCCUUCGGGUUGUAAACCUCUUUUGUCAGGGACGAUGAUGACGGUACCUGACGAAUAAGCCACGGCUAACUACGUGCCAGCCGCCGCGUAAUAC